UACGUAGGGUGCAAGCGUUGUCCGGAAUUAUUGGGCGUAAAGAGCUCGUAGGCGGUUUGUCGCGUCUGCUGUGAAAUCCCGAGGCUCAACCUCGGGCUUGCAGUGGGUACGGGCAGACUAGAGUGCGGUAGGGGAGAUUGGAAUUCCUGGUGUAGCGGCGGAAUGCGCAGAUAUCAGGAGGAACACCCGUGGCGAAGGCGGCUCUCUGGGACGGUACUGACGCUGAGACGCGGAAGCGUGGGGAGCGAACAGG
rnacentral:rRNA from 1 species